AACUCCAGCAUGCUGAUGCUCUUUUCUGUCACAUAGUCAGGGCUCAGGACAACAAUCAUCCUUCGGCUCCGCUGAAUGAAAUCAAACACUGCUUCCACCGUAUCUACAGGGAAAUGGAAAGAUAGCAUAGCAUCUGAAUGUCUGAUUGGCACAUUACCAGGAUUUACCACCUCCCUAGAUUCUGAGUUACAGCCAGCCCCAGGUACUUAACAUUUUGGACACAGGAUGAAUAGGAGAGGCCCUGCUUGUCACUGCUAGACCACCUGGGACUCUUCUUCACUGGCAUGGCCACCUGCAGCUGCUUCCAGAACCUGCCCUGCGGAUACUUGGAUUUCUCCCCUUUCCAUUUAAUGACCGUGAG